GCCCUCGUAGCUCAGGGGAUAGAGCGACGGUUUCCUAAACCGCAGGUCGCAGGUUCGAUUCCUGCCGGGGGCACCA
rnacentral:tRNA from 3 species